rnacentral:rRNA from 1 species
CCUAAGGUAGCGAAAUUCCUUGUCGGGUAAGUUCCGACCUGCACGAAUGGCGUAAUGAUGGCCAGGCUGUCUCCACCCGAGACUCAGUGAAAUUGAACUCGCUGUGAAGAUGCAGUGUACCCGCGGCAAGACGGAAAGACCCCGUGAACCUUUACUAUAGCUUGACACUGAACAUUGAGCCUUGAUGUGUAGGAUAGGUGGGAGGCUUUGAAGUGUGGACGCCAGUCUGCAUGGAGCCAACCUUGAAAUACCACCCUUUAAUGUUUGAUGUUCUAACUCCGGUCCCUAAUCGGGAUUGAGGACAGUGUCUGGUGGGUAGUUUGACUGGGGCGGUCUCCUCCUAAAGAGUAACGGAGGAGCACGAAGGUUAGCUAAUCACGGUCGGACAUCGUGAGGUUAGUGCAAUGGCAUAAGCUAGCUUGACUGCGAGAGUGACGGCUCGAGCAGGUACGAAAGUAGGUCAUAGUGAUCCGGUGGUUCUGAAUGGAAGGGCCAUCGCUCAACGGAUAAAAGGUACUCCGGGGAUAACAGGCUGAUACCGCCCAAGAGUUCAUAUCGACGGCGGUGUUUGGCACCUCGAUGUCGGCUCAUCACAUCCUGGGGCUGAAGUAGGUCCCAAGGGUAUGGCUGUUCGCCAUUUAAAGUGGUACGCGAGCUGGGUUUAGAACGUCGUGAGACAGUUCGGUCCCUAUCUGCCGUGGGCGUUGGAAGAUUGAGAGGGGCUGCUCCUAGUACGAGAGGACCGGAGUGGACGCAUCACUGGUGUUCGGGUUGUCAUGCCAAUGGCAUUGCCCGGUAGCUAAAUGCGGAAAAGAUAAGCGCUGAAAGCAUCUAAGCGCGAAACUUGCCUCGAGAUGAGUCUUCCCUGAGACCUUGAGUCUCCUAAAGGAACGUUUAAGACUAAGACGUUGAUAGGCUGGGUGUGUAAGCGUAGCGAUACGUUGAGCUAACCAGUACUAAUGAUCCGUGAGGCUUAACCUU